rnacentral:rRNA from 1 species
UACAGAGGUGGCAAGCGUUGUUCGGAAUUGCUGGGCGUAAAGGGCGCGUAGGCGGCUUGGUCAGUCCCGUGUGAAAUCCCUCGGCUCAACUGAGGAACUGCACGGGAAACUGCCUGGCUUGAGUUCGGGAGAGGGAAGCGGAAUUCCGGGUGUAGCGGUGAAAUGCGUAGAUAUCCGGAGGAACACCGGUGGCGAAGGCGGCUUCCUGGACCGACACUGACGCUGAGGCGCGAAAGCCAGGGGAGCAAACGGG